rnacentral:rRNA from 1 species
UACGUAGGCAGCGAGCGUUGUUCGGAAUUACUGGGCGUAAAGAGUGUGUAGGCGGUGCUCUAAGUUCGGUGUGAAAUCUCCCGCUUAACUGGGAGGGUGCGCCGGAAACUGGAGUGCUCGAGCGUGGGAGAGGAAAGCGGAAUUCCUGGUGUAGCGGUGAAAUGUGUAGAUAUCAGGAGGAACACCUGCGGUGUAGACGGCUUUCUGGACCAUUGCUGACGCUGAGACACGAAAGCGUGGGUAGCAAACAGG